GCCUGGGUAGCUCAGUGGUAGAGCAGUGGACUGAAAAUCCUCGUGUCGGUGGUUCGAUCCCGCCCCCAGGCACCA
rnacentral:tRNA from 1 species